rnacentral:other from 1 species
AGUACCCUGCUGUGCUCGUGCUGCUGCACUACCGGUUUUGGGCCAACACCUGUAAUCACGGGAGCCAUAUUUCCAGCAGUUACGCGAUAGGCGGGCCGCAGCUAUGUUCUGCAUCAGCAGCGCCAAGGCGGAAAAUCUGCUGGUGAGGUUCCCACUUACGAAAGCAGGUUCAAAACAUCGCACCACACGGCAUAGCGGGGGAGUU